rnacentral:lncRNA from 1 species
UUUAUAUCCAGCUGAACUCAUAUAUUUUAUAAUUUGCAACUUAUUUGGGGUUAUUAUGUAAUUAAUCAUAUUGCCUACAAUAAUAAGGUUACAUUUAAGUAAACAAGGAUGUGAAAUAGUCAAAAAAGUAAACUAUGUAGAUAUUCAGGGAAGAACAGCAGGCAGAAGUAAAAGCAAGUACAAAAAUCUUAAAGCAGGAAAGUGACUAUGUGUUCAAGGAAGUCAAAGUUCCUGGAAUGCUAAGCAAACAGAAAAGUGGUAGAUGAGGUCAGAAGUAUUGGACCAGAUUAUGUAGGGCCUUGUAGACUACUGUACAGACAAGUUUUACUCUGCUUUGGGCAUCUGUGAGAGGAAUUUAAGCAAAGGGUGACAUGAUUCAGGUUUUUUAAAAUCCUUCUGUCUACUCUAUUCAAAAUAGACUAAUGAAAGUCAAGAAUUAAAUCAGGGAGACAUGAUAGAAGGCCAUUGCAGUAAUUCAGGCGAGAUGUUGGAGGUUUAGAUCAGGGUGACACUGGGAGAGGUGGUUAGAAAUGGCUAGAUUCUGGGUACAUUCUGAAGAUAGAAUCAACAGAAUUUGCUAGAUGGUGCUUAGGAAAGAAAAAAACAAUCAAGGAUGAGUCCAGGUGUUUUGUUUUGAAUCAUUGGGAAAACAUGGUUUCCAUUAGUAAAGAAAGUUUUUUUAAGAAGUUAGAUAUCAGUUCAUAAAAUGUCUUCUUUAUAAGGCCUUUGAAAGAAAUGUGAGUCAGCAUUUGGUAAUAGUUGCAAUUUUCCAAAGAACUCACUUUUAUCUUUGUUUAUAUCUAAUGAGAACUGCAAAUUAUAUGACUGAUUGCAUUAGCUGCUCAAAAAUGAAGAACCACAUUUGUGUUCCUUGUAAAAAGGAAAAAAUAUAUGUAUCUUUUAUUGACUGCAUUCAUCUUUGAC